CCACGGCGACUCCGCCCAAGUCUAUUUCUGAGAUUGCGGCUCGAGUGCAAAAAUCCGUUAAGCAAAGCGAAACACUCCAGUUAGAACACUUUUCACACAUCAAGAAGCCAGCAACGAGGGCAGUGAACCUGCAGCGUCGCCACAGGCAGUGGACACAACCAUGGGUGACAUGAUGGACCAAGCGACUAUGCUUAAGAGUGUGUAUCAAAAGAUCCAUCAUCUGGAUGCACUCCCGACAAUCAUGGGCAAGCUUUCGCUCUUGGAACAAGUCACCAAAGUCGCCAAGGACCUGGCAGCAAGGCUUACCAUGCUGGAAGAACGGAUGACAGCAGCUCCACAGCAGGCUUCUCCGGACGCUACGAGGCCACGAGUGACAGCGGGGCGAUCAACGAGGAUAAAGUUCUGGCGCGGGUACCCGUGAAGCUGUUGGAGGAGAAGUGGCUCCCAGCUGUGCUGCAGGAGCUGGUACAGCAGCACCGGAACGGGGCCAGCUAUGCACUGGACAUCCUCCCGUGGCUUGCGAAGCCUGGGGUGAAUGCUGAAUCCGCAUCGGGGCCAUCACAGGCGCCGGCUGCGAACAGCAAAAUCGGGUGGUACUGAGGAACCGACGGCCUUGGUGGACAUCUUGAUUAACCCCAAAGUUCGAAAAUCCUUUGUAACCUUGGGGAAGAUCGCCCGUGAGCGGUAUGGAUUCACCCUGAUGGACUCACUCACGAAGUCUGGAAAACAGUUGCGACAGCAGCAGAUGGCGACGUUCAUCCAUCUACACAACACGGGCACCCAGCCCAGGUGGGAACGCGGUGUCGACACCACGGUCAUGGACGUCUGGACAUCUGGAUGCGCUCCCGACAAUCAUGGGCAAGCUUUCGCUCUUGGAACAAGUCACCAAAGUCGCCGAGGACCUGGCAGCAAGGCUUACCGCGCUGGAAGAACGGAUGAACAGCGGCUUCGCCAGGUUUGGCGUUGCUUGGCACGGUUUGACACCAAACCGUUUGUCUUACCUUGUUCGGUUUGUUGGCGGUUCAUGAGCCUUUUGGCUCGUCUGGACCGUACAAGCUUGAAGCUUGUAAACGUAAACGUAAACGUAAAAAAAAGUUACAGCACUUCAAGCUUAAGCUUUAAGCAAUAGUUUGCGAAUUUCUAGAAGCCUGGAAAGCGGGAUAGAAAUGCACCUUACGGUGGACCGCGAAGGACCGCUACAACCCACGGUUGCAACAGGGUGUUGAGCCAUGCCAAAGUAAAUGCGUCGAAAAUGAUUGAUACGUCUUCGGGGAUGCGACAGCAGAUACUGAUUAUAAGGAAUGCAAUGACGCGGA
rnacentral:lncRNA from 1 species